GGACAUAGCGGAACUAUAGAAAACUACGGUGUAUAUGGCGGCAAGGUCUCCUUGAUGACGGCGUAGUUUCUCGCGCGUCUUUUGUCCUCGCGUUUAACAGAAAGGUCGCGCUUGGCUGCGCACGCAUGAGCAAACGGACAUAGCUCCCGAAAAAAAAGCACAUGGCCAUACGAGGAGGUGAAAGCGCACAGCAACAAACAUCUCGCAUCCUUAAGAGCCUGCUGUCCUGGAAUGUUGCCAUACAGUACAGCUGGUUCGGAGCGAAAGGGAAGAAGUUCAGUGACCUGAAUAUCUGCAAGCUGACGUGUCGCAGCCUGACCAGGGACACAUGCUUCAGGGCUACCCUUAAAGACAUGUCAUGGUUUCGACAUUUCGACAUGCUCCCGAGAGGGUGGCAGCAGAGAUAUCAACAGAGGCCGACUCAGUGUGAAGAAACCCGUUCUGUGAUAUCAUUAUUUAAAGGGGCUGACAAUCAUUUUUAUAAUACUUUCUUUUUUUCCUUUUAGUUUAACGUAAAGCUUGCCAGUUCAUUCAUUCAUUGUCCAGUUGUAACGUGUCAUUGUCCAGUUGUAACUGCAUACAGUUGUAAUGCAGAAAACAUUGUGGAACAUUUAUCUGAAUGUUUGUUAAUUGUGCAUGUAUCCCACACAGUGUGUGAGCUCAGGGAACACUUACAAUUUGCGCGUGAGGAUUUUGAUGUUCACAGUAGUCUAUUUAAUACUUUUGUCUGAACGGAAUAAAAGAGCUUUUUCU